AUGGGAGAAUCUUAGAAAAUCUAAGUAUGCCUGUUCUAUUCCAGUGAUGUUCUGCCAUGGAUGGCAGAACAAGGCUUCACGAGCCAAGGAUGGCUCGUUGAAGCCGUUCACGUCACUUGUUGUCAUUUUUUUCAGGCAUAUCCAGAUUUUCUUAGGUUCGUAC
rnacentral:ncRNA from 1 species